UUGAUGUGUCUGAGAGUGGCUUGGCGUGCGGCUUAGCAAUGGUGACAUGAGAAAGGCUCUGAACAUUUUGCAGUCAACUCAUAUGGCUUCACAGCAGCAGAUAACAGAAGAAGCAGUAUAUCUUUGCACAGGAAAUCCAGGGGCUGGGAGAGCUUAAUAGAGAAGGUUUGAAGAAGAUGCCUCUUUGU